rnacentral:tRNA from 1 species
GAGGGUAUAGUUCAGUUGUAGAGCGUGUGCUUCGCAUGCACGAGGUCCUGAGUUCAAUCCCCAGCACCUCUG